rnacentral:rRNA from 1 species
CCAGAUUCUACGGGAGGCAGCAGUGGGGAAUUUUGCACAAUGGGCGCAAGCCUGAUGCAGCGACGCCGCGUGAGGGAUGACGGCCUUCGGGUUGUAAACCUCUUUCAGUAGGGAAGAAGGCCUUCGGGUUGACGGUACCUGCAGAAGAAGCGCCGGCUAACUACGUGCCAGCAGCCGCGGUAAUACGUAGGGCGCAAGCGUUGUCCGGAAUUAUUGGGCGUAAAGAGCUCGUAGGCGGUUUGUCGCGUCUGCUGUGAAAACGCGAGGCUUAACCUCGCGCCUGCAGUGGGUACGGGCAGACUAGAGUGCGGUAGGGGAGACUGGAAUUCCUGGUGUAGCGGUGGAAUGCGCAGAUAUCAGGAGGAACACCGGUGGCGAAGGCGGGUCUCUGGGCCGUUACUGACGCUGAGGAGCGAAAGCAUGGGGAGCGAACAGGAUUAGAUACCCUGGUAGUCCAUGCCGUAAACGUUGGGCACUAGGUGUGGGACCCAUUCCACGGGUUCCGUGCCGCAGCUAACGCAUUAAGUGCCCCGCCUGGGGAGUACGGCCGCAAGGCUAAAACUCAAAGGAAUUGACGGGGGCCCGCACAAGCGGCGGAGCAUGCGGAUUAAUUCGAUGCAACGCGAAGAACCUUACCAAGGCUUGACAUACACCGGAAACAUCCAGAGAUGGGUGCCCCGCAAGGUCGGUGUACAGGUGGUGCAUGGUUGUCGUCAGCUCGUGUCGUGAGAUGUUGGGUUAAGUCCCGCAACGAGCGCAACCCUUGUCCUGUGUUGCCAGCGGGUUAUGCCGGGGACUCAUGGGAGACUGCCGGGGUCAACUCGGAGGAAGGUGGGGAUGACGUCAAAUCAUCAUGCCCCUUAUGUCUUGGGCUUCACGCAUGCUACAAUGGCCGGUACAAAGGGUUGCGAUGCCGCGAGGUGGAGCGAAUCCCAAAAAGCCGGUCUCAGUUCGGAUUGGGGUCUGCAACUCGACCCCAUGAAGUCGGAGUCGCUAGUAAUCGCAGAUCAGCAACG